rnacentral:lncRNA from 1 species
CUUGAUUUUAGGCGUGUAGAUCUUUCUUAAAACUUUCAUCUUUGAAGUGGUGGUGUUAAGGAUGCUUCUGAUCGUGGGGUGGUGAGGACUUCCCGGAAAAUGGCAGGCAGACGUCAAGCUUCACAACUCUCUUUCUUAUCCCUUCCAUUUCAUAUGAGGUAUUAACACUUUUCCGUAAUUUCCUUCAUAUUAUUUGCAUUAUAUUCAUCACCAUAAUUCAGAAUAAGGAUCUUGAGGCCCUGCAUUUUAGUUUCUUUCCAUCAUGAUGUCAGUAAGUCUUGAAUCUUGAAUUCAAUUUCGUUAACAGAUUUAUGUUCAAAUACUGUUAAUAGAUGAAUUCUUUGAAAACCCAGUUCUUUUUUUAUUGUGAUUGUGUAUGGUGUAAUUACGCAUUGGACUCUUUACCCCUAAACUAUGCAUAGUUUCUCAGCAUAAAUCUAGGGAAUUUUAUUAUGGGAAUGUACUUAUGUUAUCUGAUCCAGUGAAAAGUUGUCAUUAAUUAAUAAUGAAUGGCCAAUGGGGAUUUCUAAGCAAAUGUAUUUGUUAAUCUUUUAAAUUGCUCAAUAAUAUUUAUGUAAUAUUUACUGAUAGUAGGAGUUGGAUUGAUCUCACUGUGAAGCAUUGGAAUUUCCUGUGUUUUGACAACUUAAUCCACAUCCUUUAAAUUUGCUACUUCUAUCAUUCUUUUACAAUUUGCCUAUGUAAUGGUUGUUUUCUGUGAUCUGCCAUUCACCCCUUCCUCCUGGGAUCGACACCUCUUGUCAUCACUUAUUUUUUUUAUUUUUGUUUUAUGUCCCGUAACUCUUCCUUAGCCAGGCUUGGGCGGCCUGUCCAGCAGUUUCCUGAGUGUUGGAGUUAAUUUAUGGGAUGAAACAACUCGAAGUAUGGUCUGG